rnacentral:lncRNA from 1 species
AAGAGGUUGGAUUGUGAGUAUUAUUCUAGAACUUUACACAGCUGCUAUGGAAACACAAGUACUAACUCCACCUGAGGAAUUCCUCACGGACGACAGACAUGGCUGUUCAAGUCCACAUCUAUUGGAUUCCAGAAUGUCAAGGAGACAUACUAGAAUGCGUAACAGCUCAGACAAAAAAAAAAAAAAAAAAAAAAAAAAAAAAGAAGAGAAAACAUUACAGACUGAUUUCACAGUAGCCUACGGCAUGAGUAAUUCCCACAGAGCCGUGUGAGUGAGUGACAGUCACAAACAGACAUUCAAGAAGUCUAUUUCAGCCAGCCCAUUGUGACACAGGCCUGGAACCCCAACCUCAGGAGUCGCAGGCAGGAAGAUCACAACUUAAAUCUAUCAGUGAGAUUCUGUCUCAAAAGCAAAAGGUGGAGUUGCCUGACCUCUCACUGCAUUUGCAGUUUCCUACAGGAGCUUUGAGAAGUUGACCGCCUACUGAGCUUGCUUUGCAACUCAAUCCAGCUGAAACAAAGGAUGGGUCUGUGGGCUCUCCCUAUAUAAACACAGUGCUGAAAAUUAAACUUUAAGCCUUGAUCAGAAACUUUGUCUUGGUUUCAUCUGUCUUUCACGCCCCAGUCCCUUUUAAUUUCCAUCCUCCCUUUCAGGUAGCCCCGUUCAUCCUUGGAUGCUGGAGAGAUGGCUUAGCUAUUAAAGCUUAGGCUCACAACCAAAAUAAAUAGUUAAAACUAAGUGAGUAGAAGAGAGGACAAGAUAUAGUUCUCUUGGAGGUAGGGUAUUCAUCUAUCAAGGCCUGGUCUAAUUCCCAGUAUUGAGGUAGAAGAAAGGGAUCCUGUUCCAAGAUUUGAACAUUUCCACCCAAAUCAAUAUGAAUAGAGGAUCAGCUAGGUACCCCGACUGAUGUAAAGUAAGCAUAAUUUCAAACAAAAUAAGACAAAGCAUUGAGGUGGUUCUGACUGUUAUCCUCUUUUGACAGGUAAAGGCCCACGCCUUUCAGUUGUAAGACCCCCGAAACUGGGGAGACCUCAGCUCAAGUCCCGGGAUGAGCUGGCCAGCACCCCAAUGACUGGAGAGAAAACCACACCUGAUGCAAACUGCAAGAGGUUUUAUUAUCAGCUAGUAGAGGACGAACUCCUUUCACCAUGCAGGGCAGGGGAGUUCGACCCCCAGCGGUAACAGUAGGGGGCUUUUAAAGGAAAAGUGAGGAACUGGGAGGAGUUGGGAGGAGAGUUGGCUACAGCUCCUCUCUGGCGAGGGUGGGGGAGAGUGAGCUGUAGCUCCUCUCCGGUGUCUAUCUCCGUGUCCUUGGCACAGGGAGCCAGGCAAGCGCCUGGCUAGGUCUUCCUAGCAUCUCUGGCUGUAAGGCACAAAAACAAAAAGGCUUUUUGCUGGCUAUAGAGAACAAAGAGCUUCUUUCUGGCUUUAGAGAUCAGGGAGAACACGCUUGGGGAACGUCCAGGGGCUUUACCUUUCAGAGAGAAACACUUUAAAUCGGGGUCUCACACAUUAACUUUCAGUAACUUUCUCUGUGAAGAGUCUAGGAACAAGAUUUUAGUGCACAUUUGUCUGGAAAGAUGUAGAUCUCUCUUACUAUUAUUUUUCAGAUGAUAACGCCGAAUCACCAGACAGACCUAGUGAAGUUUGGGGUAAUUUACUCUUUUUUUUUUCUUUCAGUUUAAUUUUUGGGUUUAAAAAGAGGCUGUAUCCAUCUCCUUUGUUGAUGUGUCAUCAUGAUCCAAUAGAUCAGAAAUAACUGUAAAACUACUCAAAGAGAAGUAUCCAUCUAAAAUCUCUUACUAUCAUGAGCUGGGUGAUUGUGGCUUUAAUCCCAGCCCUCGGGAGGCAGAGAUAGGCAGAUCUCUGUGGGUUCAAGGCUAGCUAGCCCAGUCUACUGACUGAGUUCUGGGACAGCCAGAGUUACUUGGAGAAACCCUUGAAAAAUGCAACAGAUACUUUUGAUACUAAGGAAGCCAGCACGGGCUUUGAUAUGCUGAUAGACACCACAAGGAGGUCAUGUGUUCCUUCAGUCAGGGAUAAAGAUGUGACUCCUUUUGGUAGAUGGGAGCCAGUUUCUUAAGAUUCUGAGAAGUUCUGAUUUUAUCUAACUGUCAGAAAUCCUCCUCUAGUUCAGGCUAAGCUCAUUAGACUGCUUUUUGGAGUCUGAGACAGUACCAUGACUAUUUACAUACUCAAUCAUUUUCUUCCAAAUUUUAUCCUUGAGCCUACUUGAAUUUCUAGUUUCUUACUCUUGAAUUGCUGAACAGGUUUUGGUUCCCAUAACUGUCUUGUUAAUGAUAUCAUAUGUCCAUAUGUAGUUGAAACACCAUGAUAUAGAGCCAGGUGUGGUGGCAUACAUCUGUAAUCUCGGCACUUGGGAAACUGGGGCAAGAAAACUGCCUUGAGUUUGAGGCAAACCUGAACGAUAGAGUGAGUUCCAAGGCAGCCUAUCUUAUAGAAUGAGAUCUGACAUCAAAAAUAACAAUAAUGAUAUAGUUGUGCCUGGACUACACUUGAGAGAUUGUUUGCCACAACUCAUUAGGCCUUGGAUCCAUCCACCACAUCACCAAGUGUGGGGGAGCAUACUUGUACUAACCGCCCUUGGCAGGUGGAAAGAGGGAUCAGAAGUUCAAAGCCAUCCUUGCUAUGUAGUCGAAGAAAGGCCAUCUUGAGCUGCAUGAGACUGUUAGGUCUCAUAUACCCAGAAAUGAGCUCAAGCUGGACUACAGAAGGAUUUCUGAUGGUUAGGGGUUAGAUAAAAGCCAGCAUCCUUGAGGAACUUGGGAAACAGGUUUCCAUCUGCUGAAAGGAGUCAUUUCCCAUGUGACAGAAGGACCCAAGGUUACAGAGGAAGGGUCAAGAGAUCUUCAACCCUGAUACCUCCAUCAUGAGGAUGCCAGGUGUUUGGAUCCCUCCCCCUCCCAACCUGGAGCCAUAAAGUCGGCUCUCUUCCACCAUCCACCCUGCCGAGAGUUUAUUACCCUGCCUGGUUAUCAGAUCUUACUCCUUGUUUGAUCUUAUAAGGCUUUAUCUCCCAGACCCUACAGCUCCUGAGUAUGCAGAUGAAGUAUCUUCCUACACCCUUGCCCCAGCCACACAAACCUUGUCCCAGAGACCCUGGCCACCUUCCCAGGGGCAUAAGCCCCCUUCUCCCCCAUGAACUGAGCCAGUUCUCUGAGGCUGUUCCCAGAUUUGUUCUGUGCCCUUGCACCGUCCAACCAAGAUCCUGUCCUGCUCCCAUCCGAUGGGGCCUGUCCAAGCUUCGCUCCCCCAGUCCAGCAGGGGGCAAAUCUGGCCUGGCCACCCUGAGGGAGAACUGGCAAUUCCCCUCGGGGCUCUAGCAGAACCAACCAGAGGCACUUAGCAGUACAUCAAUGCUCAUGCUAGCCUCCAGGCUUCCUCAGUAUCACCUGUCUUGUUAAACACUUGCAAGUCCAGGCUAAACAUCCAGGCUCUUCCUUCGUUCUCCCAGCUACUCAGCCCCCUUAUACUUAACAUGAUUUGUUCUUUCUCCCCCCUCUCCCCUCUCCUCUCUCCCUUCCCUCUCCCCUCCCAUCUCUCCCUCCCCCUCCCCUCUCCCCUCCCCCUUCCCUCUUCUCUUUCCUCACUAUUCUCUCCCUCUUGCUAUCUCAUCAGCUCUACUUUUCUGCCCCACUGUGUGGCCCCACUGUGCUCUCUUGAUGAUAGUCCUGACCAUGACCAGUCUGUUUUUCUUUUCUGUUCUGAACUCUUCCAGAUGCCUCUGGUUGCUUUCUCUUACCAACAAUAAAAACCUUCCUCUUGAUAAUGAAGUGGUUAGGUUAACAGUUCAGCAGUUUCUUUACUGUGCCCCCUUGCUUCCAAAGACUCUCUCAAAAUAGUAAUAGUAAUAAUAAUAAUAACAAUAAAUAAUAAUAACAACAACAAUAAAAUAAUUCACUUUUAUUGAAUUCUCUGCUGUGAGAAUUUUGGGCUAUUUCAAAACAAAAUGUAUACUUUUUUCAUAUUAAAGAAAACAGGGGUUUUAUGUAGAAAAUACACAGGAACUUUUUAUAUCUGUAUGUUUGAAGGCUAGAUACAGGAGUCAUUAAAAAAAGAAAAACCUGACCUUUUAUUCAGAAAUGUCAACUCUGAGUCUCCCCAAAGUUUUAUAACAUGCAUUUUAUAAUUAGCUGCCCCUUUAACCUUUUUGUAAAAGCCAUUAUGUACUUUCCAAGUUGCUAGUAUAUAAUUCUGUGGAAAAGAAACAGGUUCCCUUUAGCCUAAUUUCUGUAAACUCCAUGACUCUAUAUAUCAUGCAUAUUUAUCCUAAAUGAUUCUAACAAAUGAGCUGUGUACUGUUUUAAAGAGACUUAAAAAUAAAUAUGCCUUUAUAAUUAAAAUGAAUAAAAUUAAUCCAACAGUACCUUAGUGGAAAAUGUAAAAAUAAUUCUUGUUCUAUUAUACCUUUAUGAUUCAUUGUUGUUGGUUUUGAUUUCUUUUUCUUUCUUUCUUUUUGAUUAAAAGGCUUGCACAUAGUAGUGUGCUUUAUCAUUG